GAGUGAUGCACGUGCUUUAAGAGUUGUGCUUAGCCUAACAGGAGUUAAAGAGGGCUUGAAGGGUCAUGUUGUUGUGGAGAUGAGUGAUCUUGACAAUGAACCUCUGGUGAAGCUUGUAGGAGGAGAACUCACUGAAACAGUUGUUGCACAUGAUGUGAUUGGACGUUUGAUGAUCCAAUGUGCUCUACAACCCGGCCUUGCACAGAUUUGGGAAGAUAUAUUAGGGUUUGAGAAUGCGGAAUUUUACAUCAAAAGGUGGCCUCAGUUAGAUGGUCUGCAUUUUGAAGAUGUGCUUAUUUCAUUUCCUGAUGCAAUUCCUUGUGGGGUUAAGGUUGCUGCAGAAGGUGGGAAGAUUAACUUAAACCCCGAUGAUAAAUAUGUUCUAAAAGAAGGGGAUGAGAUUCUUGUCAUAGCUGAGGAUGAUGACACUUAUGCUCCAGUUCCUCUUCCCAAGGUACGUGGAGGUUCUUGUCCAAAACUGAUUGA
rnacentral:misc_RNA from 1 species